rnacentral:lncRNA from 10 species
CUCUUGUCUUAAAAAUGCUCUUUUUGUCUGUAUCUUUAGUGAACCUUCCUUCAUGUUCACACUCUCUUUUUUCCUCCAUUCCUUCUUUGGGCUUAGUCUUUUCAGAUGAUACAAGCCUGUGUUUUUAUUCCCCACCCCCACUAUGUUCCCACAAUGGCUCCACUACAACCUCUACUUUGAUCCCACUAGGUAGAUAUUGAAGGAGCUGAUGUGCUACUUAUUAGAAGUCCUGUGGGUUAGGAGGUCUAGGUUAUUAGUCUAAGUGGAGUCCAAUCUUAAAGUUUCAAUGUGUUUAUGGAUUUGGAGAUGAGAGAGGCUCUGGUAAAUGAUCAGUUUUGGAAGACAAACCCAUAAACUUUAUCGAAAGCACAGGGUCAGUGUCACAGGAGAGACACAAUUUUCAGUGAAGCGAAGUCUUUGUUGCUGAAAUCAUGUCAUGCCUAUUCACCCCUUCAAUCUUACCUCCAGCCCCACACACCCAGUUACUCAUGCCAGGGCUGUAGGGGAAAGGAGAACUUGAAAAAUAAUAUAGCACUUUUUUUUUAAGUUUAAGAACCCACAUGAUAGCUGGAGAUAUCAGAGUGGAGCAUAAUGUUGAAUGUCAAGUUUACCCAUUUUGUUUUGGAGAAAGCAACUUAUUAGAGCAAGAAGGGUAACAGCGGUAGAGUAACACUAGAACAGAGACUUAUGAAGGCCUAAAGACCCAGGGAAAACUUGUUUCCUUUGUGUCCUUCCAGGUUUAAUCCUUCCCCUUCACCAUCCCUGAGAGCACAUCUAUCAUAUUUCUAACCCUUGUUUUGAAGCCCUUCAUGGGCAGCCCCAUUCUCCAUAUCGCUUCCUUUUGAACUCUAAAAUGCUCAUGGUCUGUCAAUCAUUUUGGUCCUGAAUCACUAUUUUAUAUCUAUCUGGCUUACUCUUUGCAGAGAAUAGACACUGGUUUCUGAAUUGUCUAUAGUAUCCAGCAGAAUGUUAGGUCUUCCAGCUGUGACGUGGAAAAAUCUGUUGAAACAUUAAUGAUCUAAGAUAAGGGCUAAAUGUGAAAUAAGAAAACAUUGACUUUCUGACCUUGCAUUCUGCUUCUUUCUCAUUAAUGUUUCCCUUAUGGCUUUUUUUUCUCUCCCUCCAAGGUCACCCAGCCAAAAUAAUCUACUCUGCCUGCCCAAGUGUGAAGCCUAGUGUGAAACCUACUCCAGAGGUGAAACCCCACCAAGAGAUGAAAACCACUUUGGGAAAUACCUUAUGUCUGAUAUUUUCUUCUUCAUUUUUUGAUAGGACUUUUUUUUUCCUGCUCAAAAGUGACUAUCUGGUAGUACAUUCCCAGAGGAUCCUGGCCAGGUAACAGAGAAGUCUGAAAGGCUACCUUGAGAUAAGGUACUAACAGCCUGUGGUAGCUUUAAUAGAAUAUUCUGGUUUAAAUAACAACCUUGAACAUCCAACUUAUUCAGAUUCAACAAACAUCUAUCGAGUAUUUACCCUCUGCAGAUAAGACAAGGCCAUGUAUUAGAUGUUUCCUCAUGUGUUAUAUCAUUUAGUGAUUACAACAAACAUCAAAGGUAGCAUCCCUACUUUACAAAGUAAAACACAGAUACUCAGAAAGGGUAAUUUAUUCACUGAAAGUCAAAGUGAGAUGAAUUCAAACAUAGGUCCUCUAACACCCAGGGCACAGACUGAUGAUGUUCAUGACCAGCUGAGUUUAUGAAAUCUCUUACGCUGUCUGUCCCUAAUCUGCCUAUACAUUAGCAAGGUGUAGAGAAGCACCAUGCUUCUGUCCAACAUAACAGGGUUAGAAGGUCACUUUUCUGCAUGUUUCUACAUUAUUUUCAAAACUGCCAUUCAUCUGCGUUUUCAAAUAAAUAUCAACAAAAUU